AGUGAAGCUGCAGACGUUCGUGGGAGCUGUCCUUGGCCAAGAGGGAUGCUCCUUGCCUGGAAUGCUGCACUCUCACUACUUCCUGGGGGCAGACAUAGCCAAUGACUGAGGGACAGAAAUGUACAAAGGCUAGUCCUUUGUCUGAAGAAUUCAGCAGUUUCACCUUCGAAUAAUGCUGCAAAUGGAAUAUCAGUCUCUCCCCAGUGAUGCUCACUAACUGAACAAAUCUCCCUUGGAUUCAGCUGGACACCAGUUUCACCUUGACAUGCUCCCCAUCUCUGAUGAGUCGCUUCCUCCAGCAAGAUCCAAUAUCCUAAGUCCCACAGUCCAGGACAAUGACCCACAGGAUCUCCCGACAGACCAACAGCCAUAGUUAGGGUCAACUCUACACCCAAGGCCAGCAGGAAGUAGUUGGAGGAUAAGACCACUGCCCUAGUGCCAAAGACUUGUCAUUGUUGUUCUGUCAGAGGGGAAAAGGGGAGUCUGAGGAAGGAUUCCCAGGUGGGGGAGGGUCCCCUGUGGGGAGAAACAAUAAACAGUUAUUCUGAGAGAUGGCUAAUCACAAACAACCCAUGGUCACAGUGACCUUGUUCCACACAUAGCCCCCUCCAGCAUGACCCUAUAAAUCUUCCCUCCAGUCCCUCAUCUCUUGGCAGAUAGCCCCUUCUCUAUUGUACUGUCUGUUGUAACCUUGCAAUGUAUUUCAUACUUUCUCUAGUAAAUCUGCCUUGCUUUACAUACAACUCUCUUGGCAAAUUCCCUUACCACCUGCGACACCAGCCCCAGGUAGUCACACCCGUGACAACAGUCACUGUUUUAAGUGCUUUUAUGUGCAUUAUCUUGCUUAAGUCUAAGAGGUAAUAUUAUUAUAUUAUUAUUUUCACUUUGCAGAUGAGAAUCCUGUGGCUCGGAGAGGCGAUACAACUUGCCUGAAAGCACAAAGCUAUGAAGCAAAGGCAUUCUGAUUAUAGAGUCACGCUAUUGUACAUUAUAUGGCCUCCAAAUUGAGCACCCUGCUAGGAUUCAAAAUAUGAGUGGGAGAUGCAGACAUCUUCUUGUGAUUUAAGCACCUUAUCUUUCAUUUAGAGGCACACAUGAUUAGACUCUGUGG